rnacentral:rRNA from 1 species
UUUCUACUUUUUUGGACCUUGCCUUUGGUUUCUUUCUUAAUGCAGACCUUGUCUUCCCUAACAAUCGCACAGAGAUCGGGGUUACAGCAAUCCCUGCAGUUUGAAUGAUCAUAAAGCGGGCAUUCAGGAUAUCUCUUUGACAUGGCUCCAUCGAAUCUCGGUUCUUAUAUCUGAGACAGCAUACCUUCUAUAACCUCUAUGAGUAUUUGCAAUUGGGCUUUGUCAAUAUUAUCAUCUUUUCCAUUUAAAUCCUGAAGGGCGGAGUCUUCAUAUCUUGCUAAGUCCUCUUUUAGAUUUGCAAGGCGGUCU